GUGCCAGCAGCCGCGGUAAGACGGAGGAGGCAAGCGUUAUCCGGAAUUAUUGGGCGUAAAGCGUCCGCAGGCGGCUAAUUAAGUCUGUUGUUAAAGCUCACAGCUCAACUGUGAAUCAGCAAUGGAAACUGGUUAGCUAGAGUGUGGUAGGGGUAGAGGGAAUUCCCGGUGUAGCGGUGAAAUGCGUAGAUAUCGGGAAGAACACCAGUGGCGAAGGCGCUCUACUGGGCCACAACUGACGCUGAGGGACGAAAGCUAGGGGAGCGAAAGGGAUUAGAUACCCCUGUAGUCCUAGCUGUAAACGAUGGAUACUAGGUGUUGGACGUAUCGACCCGUGCAGUACCGUAGCUAACGCGUUAAGUAUCCCGCCUGGGGAGUACGCACGCAAGUGUGAAACUCAAAGGAAUUGACGGGGGCCCGCACAAGCGGUGGAGGAUGUGGUUUAAUUCGAUGCAACGCGAAGAACCUUACCAAGGCUUGACAUCCUGCGAAUCUUUCAGAGAUGAGAGAGUGCCUUCGGGAGCGCAGAGACAGGUGGUGCAUGGCUGUCGUCAGCUCGUGUCGUGAGAUGUUGGGUUAAGUCCCGCAACGAGCGCAACCCUCGUUUUUAGUUGCCAGCAUUAAGUUGGGCACUCUAGAGAGACUGCCGGUGACAAACCGGAGGAAGGUGGGGAUGACGUCAAGUCAGCAUGCCCCUUACGUCCUGGGCUACACACGUACUACAAUGCUACGGACAAAGGGCAGCAAGCGAGCGAUCGCAAGCAAAUCUCAUAAACCGUGGCUCAGUUCAGAUCACAGGCUGCAACUCGCCUGCGUGAAGGUGGAAUCGCUAGUAAUCGCAGGUCAGCACACUGCGGUGAAUACGUUCCCGGGCCUUGUACACACCGCCCGUCACACCAUGGAAGCUGGCCAUGCCCGAAGUCGUUACCCUAACCGCAAGGAGGGGGGCGCCGAAGGCGGGGCUGGUGACUGGGGUGAAGUCGUAACAAGGUAACC
rnacentral:rRNA from 1 species